AUUGAACGCUGGCGGCCGGCCUAACACAUGCAAGUCGACCGAGUGGCGGACGGGUGAGUAAUGUCUGGGAAACUGCCUGAUGGAGGGGGCUAACUACUGGACCCGGUAGCUACUACCGCAUACCAUCAGAUGUGCCCAGAUGGGAUUAGCUUGUGGGUGGGGUAAAGGCUCACCAAGGCGACGAUCCCUAGCUGGUCUGAGAGGAUGACCAGCCACACUGGAAGUGAGACACGGUCCAGAAUCCGACGGGAGGCAGCAGUGGGGAAUAUUGGACAAGGGGCGAAAGCCUGAUCCAGCCAUGCCGCGUGUGUGAAGAAGGUCUUCGGAUUGUAAAGCACUUUAAGUUGGGAGGCGUUACCAACAGAAGAAGCACCGGCUAACUUCGUGCCAGCAGCCGCGGUAAUAC
rnacentral:rRNA from 1 species